AUUGAACGCUGGCGGCAGGCUUAACACAUGCAAGUCGAGCGGGGGAAGGUAGCUUGCUACCGGACCUAGCGGCGGACGGGUGAGUAAUGCUUAGGAAUCUGCCUAUUAGUGGGGGACAACAUCUCGAAAGGGAUGCUAAUACCGCAUACGUCCUACGGGAGAAAGCAGGGGAUCUUCGGACCUUGCGCUAAUAGAUGAGCCUAAGUCGGAUUAGCUAGUUGGUGGGGUAAAGGCCUACCAAGGCGACGAUCUGUAGCGGGUCUGAGAGGAUGAUCCGCCACACUGGGACUGAGACACGGCCCAGACUCCUACGGGAGGCAGCAGUGGGGAAUAUUGGACAAUGGGGGGAACCCUGAUCCAGCCAUGCCGCGUGUGUGAAGAAGGCCUUAUGGUUGUAAAGCACUUUAAGCGAGGAGGAGGCUACUUUAGUUAAUACCUAGAGAUAGUGGACGUUACUCGCAGAAUAAGCACCGGCUAACUCUGUGCCAGCAGCCGCGGUAAUACAGAGGGUGCGAGCGUUAAUCGGAUUUACUGGGCGUAAAGCGUGCGUAGGCGGCUUAUUAAGUCGGAUGUGAAAUCCCCGAGCUUAACUUGGGAAUUGCAUUCGAUACUGGUGAGCUAGAGUAUGGGAGAGGAUGGUAGAAUUCCAGGUGUAGCGGUGAAAUGCGUAGAGAUCUGGAGGAAUACCGAUGGCGAAAGCAGCCAUCUGGCCUAAUACUGACGCUGAGGUACGAAAGCAUGGGGAGCAAACAGGAUUAGAUACCCUGGUAGUCCAUGCCGUAAACGAUGUCUACUAGCCG
rnacentral:rRNA from 1 species